GAGGGUAUAGCUCAGUGGUAGAGCGCAUGCUUAGCAUGCAUGAGGUCCUGGGUUCAAUUCCCAGUACCUCCA
rnacentral:tRNA from 1 species